rnacentral:rRNA from 1 species
GGCUCAGAUUGAACGCUGGCGGCAGGCCUAACACAUGCAAGUCGAAUGGUAACAGGAAACAGCUUGCUGUUUCGCUGACGAGUGGCGGACGGGUGAGUAAUGUCUGGGAAACUGCCUGAUGGAGGGGGAUAACUACUGGAAACGGUAGCUAAUACCGCAUAACGUCGCAAGACCAAAGAGGGGGACCUUCGGGCCUCUUGCCAUCAGAUGUGCCCAGAUGGGAUUAGCUAGUAGGUGGGGUAACGGCUCACCUAGGCGACGAUCCCUAGCUGGUCUGAGAGGAUGACCAGCCACACUGGAACUGAGACACGGUCCAGACUCCUACGGGAGGCAGCAGUGGGGAAUAUUGCACAAUGGGCGCAAGCCUGAUGCAGCCAUGCCGCGUGUAUGAAGAAGGCCUUCGGGUUGUGAAGUACUUUCAGCGGGGAGGAAGGGAGUAAAGUUAAUACCUUUGCUCAUUGACGUUACCCGCAGAAGAAGCACCGGCUAACUCCGUG